UACGUAGGGGGCUAGCGUUGUCCGGAAUCAUUGGGCGUAAAGCGCGUGUAGGCGGUCCGGUAAGUCAGCUGUGAAAGUCAAGGGCUCAACCCUUGAAAGCCGGUUGAUACUGUCGGGCUAGAGUCCGGAAGAGGCGAGUGGAAUUCCCGGUGUAGCGGUGAAAUGCGCAGAUAUCAGGAGGAACACCGGUGGUGUAGACGGCUCACUGGACCAUAACUGACGCUGAGACACGAAAGCGUGGGUAGCAAACAGG
rnacentral:rRNA from 1 species